CCCCUAGAUGUUCUGGGCCGCACGCGCGCUACACUGAACAGUUCAACAAGUCUUAACCUUGGCCGAUAGGUCUGGGUAAUCUUUGAACGCUGUUCGUGAUUGGGAUAGACCUUUGCAAUUAUGGGUCUUCAACGAGGAAUUCCUAGUAAACGCAAGUCAUCAGCUUGCAUUGAUUACGUCCCUGCCCUUUGUACACACCGCCCGUCGCACCUACCGAUUGAAUGGUCCGGUGAAAUCUCGGGACGGCGGCUUGGUCGCUUGCGUCCGACUGCUGAAACUUGAUUAAACCAUAUCAUUUAGAGGUAGGUGAAGUCGUANCA
rnacentral:rRNA from 1 species